GUAUAGAGUAGUUGAUCCUUGGCUAAAUAAUAUGCAUUUUUAAUACUUCCUCCGUCCAUUUUUACUUGUCAUGUAUUGAUUUAGCGCGUAUAUUAAUAAAUCAAGAAUAGAGUGAUAAUUUUACUAUAUCAUCCUUUGAAUAUAAUAAAUGUAAUAUUUUGGGAUAUGCAUCGACCAGUGAUUAUAGUAAAUAAAAUAUGGGUAAAUGAGCAACUAAAUGAUAAAUUCUGUCUCGGAUUUCUAAAUUGGACAAGUAAAAGUGGACGUCUAUUUUUUUAAUACAAAGGACAAUCAAAAUGGACGGAGGGAGUAACAUAGGGUCUGUUUUGACUGUUAGAUUAAUAUACAGCCUGUUUAACCGAGUGCUCAUAUUUAUGUAAUGGAUCGCAUAUUUGUCUGAAGAGGUGAUUAAAGGUAUAAUUUGUCUGAUUUCUUCCAGUAUACUCUUCAUGUAUGUGUUUGAUUUUCUUACUGCAACUUAAAGGAUGAAAAAAGAAGGGAAACUAGUUUACCAUGGCUAAAGUAUACACUACCUAUACACUUGGGAUGUAUAUGUUGUGUAUAGGUAUGUAUAUUAUAUGUAUUGUCUAUGUAUAUCUUGAGCUGAGGAUCUAUCGGAAACGGCCUUCCUACCUUUACAAGAUAGGGUUAAGAUCUGCGUACACUCUACCCUCCCCAGACCCCACCUGUGGGAUUACACUGUGUUUGUUGUUGUUGUGUAUGUAUAUUUAGUAUAAAGUAUACACUACCUAUACACUGUGUACAUAUUACUAAAUGGCCAAAUGGUAUUUGGCUGUAAUUUAUAUGAUAAAAAAGGAUUUCUUAUUAUGAUAUUAGUGUUGAUUAAUGAUAUGAAUCAGAAGAAUGCUGGUGCUGGUACUUCUCUUUCACUUGCUUAAAUCAGUGAAAGACCUUUGUUUUACUGCAUUGUAUAUAUAGACAAUUUUUUUUAAUGAAAACUAUAGGGGAAAUGAACUUCUGUUGUUACUCAUGGCUUUUAACUGUUAGAUAGGGAGUUACUUUGUCUCUGGUGAUGUUGAUUCUACUUUUUGGUUUGCAUGUUAAGAGGCGAAGUCAUUAUUGGUGGAAAUUGCCCCUCUCUCAGGUACUCAGAGGUACUAUGUUAUGUUAGCAAUGGUUGGAGUCGACCACUACAAUGAGUGAAUGCAUCAUCAACCAAUUACUUCGAAUCAUCUCUGAAUACAUUCAUGCCCCACCAGUAACAUUCUUUUAAGUUUUAACCUAUAUGGGAGCUACUUAUGGAAUAUAUAGUUGUUUGUACAUUCUCUUUCUAGAUAUUUCUUGCUCCGGAAUUCUUAUGUCCAUAUAGAGAUUCUAGGAAGUUCAUACUGUAGUAUUGGUGGAAUUAAACGCUUUGUUGGAAGCAACUAUGUCUUCAACCAUGAUCUUUGAGGUGUAUAUUCUAUAGGUACCACGUCGUACUCAUCAUACUUUCAUAUUCUAAGCAGCCAAACCAUUGACUCAACUUUUGUCUGUAGCCAUAGUAUAUAUGUCCAUAGGACUUCCAUGGCAAUGCAUCCUUUCUCGUCUUUGGAAAUGUUAUAAGCUAAGCUCUAAAGUCAUAUCAUUUGCUUGCAUACUUGGCAAAGGCAUCCUUUGUCUGUCUACAAUAUUUUGUUUGUGGAACUGAGGUGGUGUUGUUGUUGUUUUACCUUUGUGGAACUUUAAGUACCCGUCAGAUAACGGCUGCUAAUUUAAUGUUACCUCAAGAAACCUUGGGUUCUUAUUGCAUUGGGUAUUUCUUUUCUUUUUUUGGUUCAUGUUAUUCUCCUGGGGAAAGUAAUUGCUUCAAAAUUGUGCCUCUUGUUGGGAUGUAUAAAAUUGGAGCCAAUGCGCUAUGAUCGCGCUAAAUGACUGUUGGGACUCAGGGUCAGGGAGUUGUCUUAGAAAGGCGCCAUAAUGGUCAGAAAUCGCCACUGUAUUCUGAAUUCAGAGUUCCCAUUUGUUCAUCUGGGAUUUCACAUUCUUCAAAAGAAUGUUGGGUUAUUUCAACCGAUCUAAAAAAAGAGAGAAAAUGUUGGGUUUUUAUUGAUUUCCUUGUAAGGAUUCUGAAUCGUUAAUUUUUGAUAUGUCAUUUUUUUAAUAACUAAUAACUAGAAGAUUUCAAAGUUCUAAGAGACGAAGAAGGAAAUAAGUAAUCAUAAGAAGAUUCAGCGAUGGCUGCUAGAGUUUGUUGUGUUUUCCAGAGAAUUUACAUAGAUGUUAGAAAAAAUUCCUGUUUUGGGGUCUAUUUUAAUCAUAUAAUUUUUUGUUUCCAACAAAUUCUUUAGGUUGUCGUCUUUUCUUCUAACUUGUUUGAGAAUGGAGUGUAGUAGUAGCAGUUGUUUUCAUCUUUUCUUAAGGGUUUCAGUCUAAGAAUCUGAUAGUGGUUAUUUUAUAGAUUCCAAUGUGGAGGGGGAAUGUUCUUGGGCUAAUUGAUUAUAAUUUUAAUGGCUAUUUCUUCUUAAUAUCUGGUCUAUAUUCAAAAUUUAAUGCUACCUAUGGCCCUUUUUUAAUGUACAACUAGCCUGCGAUUAACACAUUAAAACUAUACUAGAACAAAUAGAGUAAAGAAUAAAGUUAAUUGAAGAUUGUAUUUCCUAGAGAUGAGAACCUCAUUGUCCACACAGUAAUCUUAACAGGUCACUUAAGCAUCUCGUCUCCUAUUUUUUCCGUUCGUAUUAUCUCGUUCGUUUGUUGUCACUGUUGCUGUUUUUGUUGGUGUGUGCUCUUUAGUUGUACUAGUGCACGGAUCAAAACAGAUUAAAGGAGGUCAUAACUCAGAAGUAUGGAACAAAAGCAAGGGAUCAUCGUUGUUGUUGUCACCCGAUGUUAGGUUUGCGACUUUUAUGUUUCUCUUUUAUGAUUAUAAAAAUUCUUCUGCACUGAUCUUCUUGUUCUUUUGGUUUCUGCAUUAUUCGCGCUUGAACAACAUGGAGCGGGCCGUUUGGGGAAUUAGGGGAAAAUCAUAUGGUUCCUGCCUUAACUAAGACUCUGCUUUAAAUGGGCCUUUAGGGGCUCUGGCUAAAAAAAGCAAGGCGAAGCUUUGAGGCUAAUCCUAACAAGACCGCAUAGCACAGUGGAUUAGCGCGUUUGACUUCGGAUCAAAGGCUUUGUGGCUAUUCCUCGAGUAGAUACGAAUGCUAAAUUUCCUGCAAGAACAUUUGAUAGUGGAGAAUUUUGUUCCCCUAGCAUGUUGAUGGAUCAAUAGCAAUUCUCAUUGUAUACUUGCGCUGAAGUUGUUUGUAUACUUGAUCCUUUUUAGGAUGAACGUACUGUUUGGCGGUGCGGAACUUUGGAGAGUGGUGGAAAGGUUCCUUUCGGAAGAAGAUUUAAGACGAAAGCUAGAGGAGGAGAGGAUAAGACUUGGACUUUUAAGAAUUCAUCAGUUAUCACCGCAAAUGGCUUCCAAGUUUGGUUCCUCCAGAAGCACUCAUUCAGACCAAAAGAUGAGUUUCUCCUCCAUUCAUUUGGUGUUAUUCUCAAGGGUUUCUUCUUCUUUUUCGCCGUGACAUCUAUAAUUAAGAAUGCCUUUUAGUGACCAUGUAAUAUUAGAUGAAUGUUUCUUGGUAGUGAGUUAUUGAAACGUUAGGUACAAUAGAAUUAGUAUUUGAAUUAGGAAAAGCAAUAGGAAUAGUGCAGAAGAAAACCAAGAAAAUGAGAGCUAGCAGUUGCGAACUUAUGUAGACAUGCAUGGAGGAACACCUCAAGGUGCCAUAAAACUAACACAUUAAAAAUAUUUGAUGGUUAUGGAUAUGAAGGGGAUGAGAAUCCAUUUACUGCAUGCUUGAAUCUCAUGAAUUGGUUGAUUUUUUCCAAACUUAUGAUUUGUCAAUGUUCGCCAUUUUCCAUGUUUGUGGAACCAAUCAUGAAUUAGCAGAUAGUCUCGUCCAGAUAAAUGAGCCUUCGAUCGUAAAAGAGUAAUUCGACUAAUUUCAAGUGAACAUCUUGAAGAUGGACCUUGGAUCAACGAAGAAGCGCUGGAUCGACUAAUUAUAAGUGAACAUCAUGUUUUGACUCUUCUUAGUAUUCUCCACCACAGUUCCCACAUUCAAAAAAUAAAGCAAAUGGCACAAUGUACUAACCAAGACACACAAUUGGCAUACAUUAGCCAUGUUCUAAGAAGAUGGCACAAAAUGGACAUUUCACACGUUUUGGGCCAUUAAAAAUAGUACCAGAUGAC